GAUGAAGAACGUAGCGAAACGCGAUACGUAAUGUGAAUUGCAGAAUUCAGUGAAUCAUCGAAUCUUUGAACGCACAUUGCGCCCGCCAGCAUUCUGGCGGGCAUGCCUGUUCGAGCGUCAUUUCAACCCUCGACCUCCCCUUGGGGAGGUCGGCGUUGGGGACCGGCAGCACACCGCCGGCCCUGAAAUGGAGUGGCGGCCCGUCUGCGGCGACCUCUGCGUAGUAAUACAGCUCGCACCGGAACCCCGACGCGGCCACGCCGUAAAACACCCAACUUCUGAACGUUGACCUCGAAUCAGGUAGGACUACCCGCUGAACUUAAGCAUAUCAAUAAGCGGAGGA
rnacentral:misc_RNA from 1 species